AGAGGUCGCGAGCGUUAAUCGGAUUUACUGGGCGUAAAGCGUGUGUAGGUGGUUGUACAAGUCGGUUGUGAAAUCCCCGGGCUCAACCUGGGAACUGCUUCCGAGACUGUGCGACUAGAGAUCGGUAGAGGGCGGUGGAAUUUCCGGUGUAGCGGUGAAAUGCGUAGAUAUCGGAAGGAACACCAAUGGCGAAGGCAGCCGCCUGGGCCUGAUCUGACACUGAGACACGAAAGCGUGGGGAUCAAACAGGAUUAGAUACCCUGGUAGUCCACGCCGUAAACGAUGGGUACUUGACGUCGGUACGCUCUGCGUAUCGGUGUCGUAGCUAACGCGAUAAGUACCCCGCCUGGGGAGUACGGCCGCAAGGUUG
rnacentral:rRNA from 1 species